rnacentral:rRNA from 1 species
UACGUAGGGUGCGAGCGUUAAUCGGAAUUACUGGGCGUAAAGCGUGCGCAGGCGGUUCGUUAUGUCCGUUGUGAAAGCCCCGGGCUCAACCUGGGAAUGGCAAUGGAAACUGGCGGGCUAGAGUGUGGCAGAGGGGGGUGGAAUUCCGCGUGUAGCAGUGAAAUGCGUAGAGAUGCGGAGGAACACCGAUGGCGAAGGCAGCCCCCUGGGCUAGCACUGACGCUCAGGCACGAAAGCGUGGGGAGCAAACAGC